UGGCCGUUCGUCCAGCGGCAGGACACCGGACUUUGACUCCGGGAGCGGUGGUUCGAAUCCAUCACGGCCAG
rnacentral:tRNA from 1 species